rnacentral:rRNA from 1 species
GACGAACGCUGGCGGCGUGCUUAACACAUGCAAGUCGAACGGACAGGCCCUGCUUUUGUGGGGUGCUCGAGUGGCGAACGGGUGAGUAACACGUGAGUAACCUGUCCUUGUCUUUGGGAUAACUCUAGGAAACUCGGGCUCAUACCGGAUAGGAGCUCUUGCUCCAUGGUGGGGGUUGGUAAGUUUCGGCGGUUCGAGAUGGACUGGCGGCUUAUCCGCUUGUUGGUGGGGUAGUGGCUUAACAAGGCUACGACGGGUAGCCGACCUGGGAGGGUGACCGGCCACAUGGGUACUGAGGUACGGCCCAGACGCCUACGGGACGCAGCAGUCGGGAAUAUGGCACAAUGGGCCGGAGCCUGAUGCAGCAACGCCGCGAGCGGGAUGACGGCCUUCGGGUUGUAAACCGCUUUCGCCUGUGACGAAGCGUGAGUGACGGUAAUGGGUAAAGAAGCACCGGCUAACUACGUG